GACUCAGUGGUCUAAUGGUAAGGCGUUUGCCUAGCAAUCAGAGAGUCUUGGGUUCAAUCCCCGAUUUGUUCA
rnacentral:tRNA from 1 species